GCGCGCUCUAAGGGAUACUCUCUGACCGUGAUGACGUUCUAACUAAAAAGAUGGUUUCCUGAGAGCAGUGUACCUGCAACUACUUUGUUGCACUGCCCAGAGAGCUGCGCUGCUGCAAGGAGGAGAAAGUUGUCGUCUCCGUUUAUGGCGUGGGAGCUGCUCAUCGCGUCCCGACGAAUCUAGAAGUCGUAGACGACAACGGCAAAGUCGUUUUGACGACAGAUCCUAAGCCUGUUGCACAAGGCACGCCGGCUGAGUUUGCUCUCUCCAUACCUUGUCAGUAUAUUUCCACUCCUCAAGUACCCGGAAAGCAGCGUUUUGUUAGCGUCCGAGUUGUGAGCACGCGCGGCAUCUUGUUGUUGAACAAAGCUGUGAGGGAAGGAGUGAGAAACAGUCCGGAAUUGGUUCUCAUCCAGACCGACAAGCCUAUAUAUACAGAAAACGACGAUGUUAAGUUAAAUAUGCUCAAGAAUUUGAGUGUAGUGACGUUCCUUGUGUGUGUGGUUAUUACAGUGAACAUCAGAGCGGUAGUUCUUGGCUGCAACUUUGCUCCUUGCUGUGGAGGAGGCACUGAUGUAAUAUGUUUGUCAUAAAUUAUUGCAAAACAUUUUUAUUCCAUUUUUUAUUUUGCACUCUGUAUACAACGUCUUGUUGGACGUCAAAUAGAAUCCUCAAGACGUUAUUGUUGAAAGGCUUGAUAUUAAACCAUGCUCAACACAGGGAGGUAUCUAGCGAAUCAACUUUAACUUGGGUUUAACUUCUAUUGAGGGUGAUUGGUCAAUUGUUGCUAAACGCAGUUCUGAUAUGAGAAAUGUUGUUAUAUUCUAUUAAAGUGGUUGUAAUUUGUUUCUCUGUUGAUUAGGAUAUUGUGGUCUCCAAAAAUAUAUUUGAAGUGAAAUAAUGUUCUACUUCGAUUUGAAGUCUCUAUAAGAGCACCCAAAUUUGUGAAGGCAACCGAUGACAAUAUACAAAUUGGGUUGUGACAGCAAGUUAUCAAAUUAACUUGUGCUAGAAGCGCUUUAUACUGCAUGCAUAAUCUUCAUUGAUACUUGUAGGAAUUCUUAUGGAAAAUGUGUACUUGGAAUACUGAAUGCAAAACUCGGGAUCUGCAAUGAAAGAACUACUAGUGUCGUGGUCUUUAGG